AACUAAUCAAGAGUAAGGGAGGUGUUCAAAGGUAAGCUACAAACUGGAUUAAUAAAAUCAAUUGUAGAGUAUAAUGAUAAAAGCUUGCUUGACUGUAAGAUAGACAAAUCAAACAGGGACAAAAGUCGGUCAUAGUGAUCCGAUAAUUCUUUGUCGAAAGGCUAUCGCUCAAC
rnacentral:ncRNA from 1 species